GUCUGAAUCUACUGGUUAAAAAUAACUCCUCUGAGGUUUUAGUCUGGACUCGUCAGGGAACACAAAAUCCAGAGUGGAUGAAAGCAGAAGUAACCAUUAACGUGACCACGAUGCUUCAGAUAAUGUUCACUGGGCACAGAAACACCCAGAGCCAGGGAUUUAUAGCCCUUGAUGAUAUUACAGUGAGAGGAGGAGCCUGCAGCAGUCAGAAUUUUUGUGGAUUUGAAUCGGGCUCAUGUGGCUUUGAGAACAGCGUUAAUCAUAUGGGUCAGUGGGGGCAC